UACGUAGGGGGCAAGCGUUGUCCGGAAUCAUUGGGCGUAAAGAGCGCGUAGGCGGCCCAGUAAGUCCGCUCUGAAAGUCAGGGGCUCAACCCCUGGAUGCGGGUGGAUACUGCUGGGCUAGAGUCCGGAAGAGGCGAGUGGAAUUCCUGGUGUAGCGGUGAAAUGCGCAGAUAUCAGGAGGAACACCGAUGGCGAAGGCAGCGAAUUGGCCCUAUAUUGACGCUCAGGCACGAAAGCAUGGGGAUCAAACAGG
rnacentral:rRNA from 1 species